AGGCCUAAAUUAAUAUAUUGUUUGUUUCCCCAAUCCCGACCCUGCCAAGCAAGGUGUGGGUAGGUAGGUAGGGAAAUAAUUUUAUUUUUUUCCAAAAAGCUUGAACAAUAUCGAACGAUGCAGCAAGCCUGAAAAUCAGAAAGGAAUAAAAUAAUUUUCUAUUUAGUUUUGACAAUAAAAUUUUAUGUGUAGCACAGUUUUUGCAGGGUCGGUCGGGAUUGGGGAAACACACAAUAUUUUAGUUUAGGCCUUAU
rnacentral:lncRNA from 1 species